CUUAGGGAGGAGCUUGCGUCACAUUAGUUAGUUGGUGGGGUAAAGGCCUACCAAGACUAUGAUGUGUAGCCGGGCUGAGAGGUUGAACGGCCACAUUGGGACUGAGACACGGCCCAAACUCCUACGGGAGGCAGCAGUAGGGAAUUUUCGGCAAUGGAGGAAACUCUGACCGAGCAACGCCGCGUGAACGAUGAAGUAUUUCGGUACGUAAAGUUCUUUUAUUAGGGAAGAAUAAAUGAUGGAAAAAUCAUUCUGACGGUACCUAAUGAAUAAGCCCCGGCUAACUAUGUGCCAGCAGCCGCGGUAAUACAUAGGGGGCAAGCGUUAUCCGGAAUUAUUGGGCGUAAAGGGUGCGUAGGCUGUUAAAUAAGUUUAUGGUCUAAGUGCAAUGCUCAACAUUGUGAUGCUAUAAAAACUGUUUAGCUAGAGUAAGAUAGAGGCAAGUGGAAUUCCAUGUGUAGUGGUAAAAUGCGUAAAUAUAUGGAGGAACACCAGUAGCGAAGGCGGCUUGCUGGGUCUUUACUGACGCUGAGGCACGAAAGCGUGGGGAGCAAACAGGAUUAGAUACCCUGGUAGUCCACGCCGUAAACGAUGAGUACUAAACGUUGGGUAAAACCAGUGUUGAAGUUAACACAUUAAGUACUCCGCCUGAGUAGUACGUACGCAAGUAUGAAACUUAAAGGAAUUGACGGGACUCCGCACAAGCGGUGGAUCAUGUUGUUUAAUUCGAAGGUACCCGAAAAACCUCACCAGGUCUUGACAUGCUUCUGCAAAGCUGUAGAAACACAGUGGAGGUUAUCAGUUGCACAGGUGGUGCAUGGUUGUCGUCAGCUCGUGUCGUGAGAUGUUGGGUUAAGUCCCGCAACGAGCGCAACCCUUAUUGUUAGUUGCCNNCACGUAAUGGNGGGGACUUUAGCA
rnacentral:rRNA from 1 species